UAAAUACUCCCUCUGUUCCGAAUUACUUGUCGUAGGUAUGGAUGUAUUUAGAUGUAUUUUAUCUAGAUACAUCCAUUUUUGCGACGAGUAAUUUGGAACGGAUGGAGUAUAAG
rnacentral:pre_miRNA from 1 species